rnacentral:rRNA from 1 species
AUUGAACGCUGGCGGUAUGCCUUACACAUGCAAGUCGAACGGUAGAGGGGCAACCCUUGAGAGUGGCGAACGGGUGAGUAAUACAUCGGAACGUGCCCAGUCGUGGGGGAUAACGUAGCGAAAGCUACGCUAAUACCGCAUACGACCUGAGGGUGAAGGCGGGGGAUCGCAAGACCUCGCGCGAUUGGAGCGGCCGAUGGCAGAUUAGGUAGUUGGUGGGGUAAAGGCCUACCAAGCCUGCGAUCUGUAGCGGGUCUGAGAGGACGACCAGCCACACUGGGACUGAGACACGGCCCAGACUCCUACGGGAGGCAGCAGUGGGGAAUUUUGGACAAUGGGCGCAAGCCUGAUCCAGCCAUACCGCGUGCGGGAAGAAGGCCUUCGGGUUGUAAACCGCUUUUGUCAGGGAAGAAAUCUUCUGGGCUAAUACCUCGGGAGGAUGACGGUACCUGAAGAAUAAGCACCGGCUAACUACGUGCCAGCCGCCGCUGUAAGAC